rnacentral:rRNA from 1 species
UGGGGAAUUUUGCGCAAUGGGCGAAAGCCUGACGCAGCGACGCCGCGUGAGUGAAGAAGGCCCUCGGGUUGUAAAACUCUGUGGGGAGAGACGAAUAAGUAUUGGUGAAUAUCCAAUGCGAUGACGGUAUCUCUUUAGCAAGCACCGGCUAACUCUGUGCCAGCAGCCGCGGUAAUACAGAGGGUGCAAACGUUGUUCGGAAUUACUGGGCGUAAAGCGUGUGUAGGCGGCUAAGCAAGUCGGAUGUGAAAGCCCUGAGCUCAACUUGGGAAGUGCACUCGAUACUGUUUAGCUAGAGUGUCGUAGAGGCUGGUGGAAUUCUCGGUGUAGAGGUGAAAUUCGUAGAUAUCGAGAGGAACAUCGGUGGCGAAGGCGGCCAGCUGGACGACUACUGACGCUGAGAUACGAAAGCGUGGGGAGCAAACAGGAUUAGAUACCCCCGUAGUCC